GAGUUUGAUCUUGGCUCAGAUUGAACGCUGGCGGCAUGCCUUACACAUGCAAGUCGAACGGCAGCACGGGAGCUUGCUCCUGGUGGCGAGUGGCGAACGGGUGAGUAAUGCAUCGGAACGUAUCCUGGAUGGGGGAUAACGUAGCGAAAGUUACGCUAAUACCGCAUAUUCUGUGAGCAGGAAAGCGGGGGACCUUCGGGGCCUCGCGCUCUUGGAGCGGCCGAUGUCGGAUUAGCUAGUUGGUGAGGUAAAGGCUCACCAAGGCGACGAUCCGUAGCAGGUCUGAGAGGAUGAUCUGCCACACGUGGAACUGAGACACGGU
rnacentral:rRNA from 1 species